GUGUAAAGGCCUACCAGGCAACGAUGGGUAGCUGGUCUGAGAGGAUGAUCAGCCACACUGGAACUGGAACACGGUCCAGACUCCUACGGGAGGCAGCAGUGGGAAUAUUGGCAAUGGGGGCAACCCUGACCCAGCAACGCCGUGUGAGGAAGAAGGUUUUCGGAUCGUAAACCUCUGUCAGGAGGGAAGAAGUGCAUGCCAAGUAAUAUGUGGUAUGUUUGACGGUACCUCCAAAGUAAGCACCGGCUAACUCCGUGCCAGCAGCCGCGGUAAUACGGAGGGUGCGAGCGUUAUUCGGAAUUACUGGGCGUAAAGCGCGCGUAGGCGGCGCGGCAAGUCAGAUGUGAAAGCCCCGGGCUCAACCUGGGAAUUGCAUUUGAAACUGCCGUGCUUGAGUAAGGUAGAGGGUGGCGGAAUUCCCGGUGUAGGAGUGAAAUCCGUAGAUAUCGGGAGGAACACCAGUGGCGAAGUCGGCCACCUGGGCCUUUACUGACGCUGAGGUGCGAAAGCGUGGGUAGCAAACAGGAUUAGAUACCCUGGAGUCCACAC
rnacentral:rRNA from 1 species